rnacentral:rRNA from 1 species
AUUGAACGCUGGCGGAAUGCUUUACACAUGCAAGUCGAACGGCAGCAUAGGUGCUUGCACCUGAUGGCGAGUGGCGAACGGGUGAGUAAUAUAUCGGAACGUGCCCAGUCGUGGGGGAUAACGUAGUGAAAAUUACGCUAAUACCGCAUACGAUCUAUGGAUGAAAGCGGGGGAUCGCAAGACCUCGCGCGAUUGGAGCGGCCGAUAUCAGAUUAGGUAGUUGGUGGGGUAAAGGCCUACCAAGCCAACGAUCUGUAGCUGGUCUGAGAGGACGACCAGCCACACUGGAACUGAGACACGGUCCAGACUCCUACGGGAGGCAGCAGUGGGGAAUUUUGGACAAUGGACGCAAGUCUGAUCCAGCCAUUCCGCGUGCAGGACGAAGGCCUUCGGGUUGUAAACUGCUUUUGUACGGAACGAAAAAGCCUUGGUUAAUACCCAGGGUCCAUGACGGUACCGUAAGAAUAAGCACCGGCUAACUACGUGAA